rnacentral:rRNA from 1 species
UUCCGGUUGAUCCUGCCGGACCUGACUGCUAUCGGAUUGAUACUAAGCCAUGUGAGUCAUUGUAGCAAUACAAGGCAGACGGCUCAGUAACACGUAGUCAAUCUACCCUAUGGACGGGGAUAACCUCGGGAAACUGAGGAUAACACCCGAUAGAUCAUUAUUCCUGGAACGGUUUAUGGUCCAAAUGAUUCGUCGCCGUAGGGUGGGACUGCGGCCUAUCAGCUUGUUGGUGAGGUAAUGGCCCACCAAGGCUAUUACAGGUACGGGCUCUGAGAGGAGAAGCCCGGAGAUGGGUACUGAGACACGGACCCAGGCCCUAUGGGGCGCAGCAGGCGAGAAAACUUUGCAAUGUGCGCAAGCACGACAAGGUUAAUCCGAGUGUUUCCUGCUAAAGGAAUCUUUUGUUAGUUGUAAAACCACUAUCGAAUAAGGGGUGGGCAAGUUCUGGUGUCAGCCGCCGCGGUAAAACCAGCACCUCAAGUGGUCAGGAGGAUUAUUGGGCCUAAAGCAUCCGUAGCCUGUUCUAUAAGUUUCCGGUUAAAUCCAUUAGCUCAACUAAUGGGCUGCCGAAAAUACUGUAGAACUAGGGAGUGGGAGAGGUAGACGGUAUUCGGUAGGAAGGGGUAAAAUCCUUUGAUCUAUUGAGGACCACCUGUGGCGAAGGCGGUCUACCAGAACACGUUCGACGGUGAGGGAUGAAAGCUGGGGGAGCAAACCGGAUUAGAUACCCGGGUAGUCCCAGCUGUAAACGAUGCAGACUCGGUGAUGCCCUGGCUUGUGGCCAGUGCAGUGCCGCAGGAAAGCCGUUAAGUUUGCCGCCUGGAAGUACGUACGCAAGUAUGAAACUUAAAGGAAUUGGCGGGGGAGCACCACAAGGGGUGAAGCCUGCGGUUCAAUUGGAGUCAACGCCGGGA